UUGUAGACUACAACGUUGAUAGGCCACAAGUGUAAGUACAGUAAUNUAUUNAGCUGAGUGGUACUAAUUAGNCGAAUGGCUUUAUCAAUCUUUUU
rnacentral:rRNA from 1 species